rnacentral:rRNA from 1 species
AGUGAACGCUGGCGGUAGGCCUAACACAUGCAAGUCGAACGGCAGCACAGUAAGAGCUUGCUCUUACGGGUGGCGAGUGGCGGACGGGUGAGGCAUACAUCGGAAUCUACUUUUUCGUGGGGGAUAACGUAGGGAAACUUACGCUAAUACCGCAUACGACCUACGGGUGAAAGCAGGGGAUCUUCGGACCUUGCGUGAUUGAAUGAGCCGAUGUCGGAUUAGCUAGUUGGCGGGGUAAAGGCCCACCAAGGCAACGAUCCGUAGCUGGUCUGAGAGGAUGAUCGGCCACACUGGAACUGAGACACGGUCCAGACUCCUACGGGAGGCAGCAGUGGGGAAUAUUGGACAAUGGGCGCAAGCCUGAUCCAGCCAUACCGCGUGGGUGAAGAAGGCCUUCGGGUUGUAAAGCCCUUUUGUUGGGAAAGAAAAGCAGCAGGUUAAUACCCCGCUGUUCUGACGGUACCCAAAGAAUAAGCACCGGCUAACUUCGUG